rnacentral:snRNA from 1 species
UCACUUACCUGGACGGGGUCAAUGGGUGAUCAAGAAGGUCCAUGGCCUAGGUUGGUGACCUCUAUUGCACUUCGGAGGGGUGCCCGCCUAAGGUCGGCCCAAGUGGUCGAGCCUACGUCAUAAUUUGUGGCAGUGGGGGUUUGCGUUCGCGCAGCCCCUGC